UGCGUAGGCGGAAUAUUAAGUCAGUGGUGAAAUCCUGCGGCUCAACCGUAGAACUGCCAUUGAUACUGAUAUUCUUGAAUAUAGUUGAGGUAAGCGGAAUGUGUAAUGUAGCGGUGAAAUGCUUAGAUAUUACACAGAACACCGAUUGCGAAGGCAGCUGCUAAACUAUUAUUGACGCUGAUGCACGAAAGCGUGGGGAGCGAACAGGAUUAGAUACCCUGGUAGUCC
rnacentral:rRNA from 1 species